rnacentral:tRNA from 1 species
GUCCUGUUAGCUCAGUGAAUAGAGCAGUAGACUUCUAAUCUACAGGUCACUGGUUUGAAUCCAGUACGGGAUACCA